CUCACUGCACUGUAUCACCCCAAUAGAGCACGUUGCUCUCAGACUGCGGGCUUACUUGUGGGUCCUUUAAAAGUAGAAUGGGAGGCAGAGGCUUCAGCUUUCAGGCCCCUCUUCUGUGGAACCAGCUCCCAGUUUGGCUUCAAGAGACAGACAUCCUCUGUAUUUUUAAGAUGAGCCUUCGAACUUGGCUUUUUUGACAAAGCAUAUACUUAGGGGUGGACAGGCGACCCUAAAUCCUUCUUUAGUCACGCUGUAAUAGGCCGAGGCUGCCUGGGGGGUCCCAUUAUGCACUGUUUCUUCUUCACUCACCUUUUUUGCUGAGUAUGUGUUUAUACAACACUCUGCGGUUAUUAUUAAUCUCUGUCUCUCCUGAAAGUGUAUCUUUUGUCCCGUCUUCCUCCCCUCUGAUAGGCUGAUAGGCGCCCCUCCCUGAGCCUGGUUCUGACAAAGGUUACUUCCUGUUAAAUGAAAUGGACUACAAGCCGGUGUAGAGAGUUGCAGGGGCACAUGCACGACUGUCUGAAUUGUAUCACAGAAGCCGUAUCUACUUGUUACUGUAGGAUGAAGAUGUAGGUGGAGUGAAUGAUCAUCUUGCUACGAUGUCAUAUUCUUCUUGAAAACUGUAGGCCCUGCUGUUCAGGUAGGGCAACCAGGUGUCAAGAUUUACUUGUAACUGCACAGCAUUUUUAUCCUUUCUUCCUCACGUCCCACAUAUUGAGGCACUGUCCUGCAUUUCUGAUUGUUUCUCACGUUUACUGAAGCCAACACACACACAUGGAUCAAAAAGAGAUGCAGAUCUGUUGGUUUUUGUCUUUUGCCCUUCUCCCCCGUCCCUCUUCUCAGCUGUUUCUCUUUCCCUC